UUGGGUGGUUGGGGUGGGUUUAGCCCUCAGCCUAAACCUAUCCUCAGGAAGCCAGGACCCUGCUGCUCCUUCUAUCUUCACCACAUCUCCAAGGGGCUGCACCCUGCCUGCCCCAGGGAUGUGCGUGGCAGAGGAUUCCCAUGGCCCAGGUGGAAAAACAGGCUGCUCAUCCUCAGGGAAAUGGAGGGAUGGUGAUUGUGUGGAGCAGGCCUCACAGGGUGCUGUUGAGGUAAGAGGGAGGAAAGGAAUGUGGGAGAUUUCUGCCUACUCCACCUGGAGGGGUGAGGGCCAGAACAAUGAUGACAGUCUUGUGACACUGAGUCCUCAUGAGAACCUGUGUGGUAGCCGGAGUUCUCACACUUUCCAGAUGAGGAAACAGGCUCAAGGAGGCCAGGCCACAAGCCCAAGCUCACACCCAGAGUGAGAGUUGGAGCUGGUCUUGUUCUGGAAUCACAAGACCUUAGAGGAUGGAAUGACAUUGGUACCAGUUGACUCAAGUCAGAUGUCCAGUGUCGGAGGCCAGUGGUGCUGGAGAGAAAUGGGUUGAGGGGAGUAUGGCCUCACUGACACUGUCCUCGACCCUGACAAGAGGGGCCCUCCACGUUUGCUCCCCCAGAGAGCAACCCCCAGAGAGUGCAGGAGAAACAGCAGCAGCAGCAGGGUGUUGUCCCCUAUCUUGGCACUCUGCUCAGUGACCUGCUGAUGCUGCACCUGGCGAUGGGUGACUAUUUCGAGGGGAAUGGGAUCAACCUUGAGAAGAGGACUGAGGAGCAGCAGUGGCACUCCCUGCAGGGGAGAAGAAAGAGGUGGAAAUCAGAGACCUUCUGGGCAGAACAGUCCUUGGCUCCACCCGCUGUAUCUUACAUUGAAUGGAAGAGUUUGAUACCAGAGAAGUGGGAGACCCAUCCAAUUGGCGGGAAUACCGAGUCAUGAGUAAGAUCUUGUUGCUCCAGGAGGCUGCAAAGAAUUACAACCUAGAGCCCGAGGGAGCGAUUUGGGGCCUCGUUCCAGGACAUGGAGUUGCUCAACGAGAAUGAGAGCUACAACCUGUCCUGCCAGCCAGAUCCCUAGACCUAGUUGGCCUGCAGAAUAUGCAAGGCCAAGAAGAACCGGCCAUCAUCAAGGUCAGGGGUCAAACACCAAGGGUAGAGGUCUUCAAGAGAUCAAGUCUAAUCUACCUACGGGUGUGGCAGGCUUACCUAUGGAUGUUCAAGCCAGACAUUCCCAGAAGAACUACAUCUCUUCACCCAUAGCACGGACUGUAGGAAAAAGCCCAGAGGAGCAAUGAAGACAAAGAAGACACGACACCUGCAAAAAGUCAGUGAAGUAUUUCUACACAACAAACCUUCCAGGCUGCCAUGAUCCUCCCUCUGGACCCUGUGGUCAGGGUCGCUGCAGAGAUCCUCCCUUUGGACCCCGCCUGCCUGAAGGGCCCAUACCUUGGUCAGGCAUCUUAGAAGGACUGCCGUGAGCCAUGUCAUAAAAAGGAGAAAACAUCACAUUGGACAGCCCCAAUUCCUGCAUAUACAGACGGGAAACUUAGGUGCACUGGUAAGUGACUCCUAAGCCACUUCAGGGGACCACACGCACGCCCCUUCUCCAACGCUGCACACAGGCUUGUUCACUGGACUUCCUUAUCCCAGUGUGGACCUCGUGGCCUCAUUAACACAGGCAACAGCACUGAAACUUCCCGUUGGUCCUUCCCACAAUGUCAGGGAAGUUUUUGUAGGAAGGUAAUAUUCAAUUUCUGCUCUACUAUAGGGCUGGCUCCUUGGCAACCAGUUUUAAUAUCCCUUUUUAAAUAUAACCUCAGAAUCACAAAAUAAUUAAGCAAAAUAAUUUGUUGCUGUUGGGGGUUAUGGUGAUAACUCUCUGAAGUUAUUUUUCCAUUUAGCUACUCUGACUCCAAAUACUACAGCACCA